AGGAGAAAUUCUAGAGUAGUAUCUGGUUGCAAGUAAAAGAUGCCGCCGUAUGCUCCGCUGCAUAAUCUUGUAAGAUUUCAAGCAAAACAGCGCAUAACGAUUACAGACCGUAACUAUAAAUGGAGAUUGGAAGAAUACCAGUAACAACAAGGGAGUAAAAAAUCAGUACAUAAGCGCCAGAGGGAGGCUACGGCGGAACAAACGGAAGAAGAAGGUGGAAGCGGCGGCGAAUGAGCGGAGAGAGGAGACGGCAACGCUUUUAGCUGCUGAAACGGAGAAGGAGACGGCGUGAAGAAGAAUAAGAAAUGGCGUUAACCACAACCGGUAAUUGUAUCGCAUUAAAAAUUGGGAAAUUUUUUAAUUUUUUACUUUGGGUGGUACAGGAAAAGUUUUCAGGACUAACAUUUUUUAUUUCGUAAAUAUAGCAAUUUUUUAAUUUUGGUUGAUAUUUCUUAUUUUAUUCUUUUUAUUAU